GCCCGGGUAGCUCAGUGGUUGAGCUUCUGCCUUCGGCCCAGGGCAUGAUGAUCCUGGGGUCCUGGGAUCGAGUCCCAGGUCAGGCU
rnacentral:tRNA from 1 species